UACGGAGGGGGCUAGCGCUGUUCGGAAUUACUGGGCGUAAAGCGCACGUAGGCGGCUUUGUAAGUUAGAGGUGAAAGCCCGGGGCUCAACUCCGGAAUUGCCUUUAAGACUGCAUCGCUAGAAUUGUGGAGAGGUAAGUGGAAUUCCGAGUGUAGAGGUGAAAUUCGUAGAUAUUCGGAAGAACACCAGUGGCGAAGGCGACUUACUGGACACAUAUUGACGCUGAGGUGCAAAGGCGUGGGGAGCAAACAGG
rnacentral:rRNA from 1 species